rnacentral:rRNA from 1 species
CUCAUCAGGGCAAGAAGAUUUUAGGAUUGACAGAUUGAGAGUUCUUUCUUGAUUGGUCUAGUGGUGGUGCAUGGCCGUUCUUAGUUGGUGGAGUGAUUUGUCUGGUUAAUUCCGUUAACGAACGAGACCUUAACCUGCUAACUAGUGUUCCGAUCUCAAAUCGGAAGCACUUCUUAGAGGGACUAUGUGAUGUAAUCACAUGGAAGUUUGAGGCAAUAACAGGUCUGUGAUGCCCUUAGAUGUCCUGAGCUGCACGCGUACUACAAUGGCACUUUCAACGAGUUUUUCCUGAUCCGAAAGGAUUUGGGUAAUCUUUUUAGUGAGUGCCGUGAUUGGGAUAGAUCUUUGUAAUUGUGGAUCUUGAACUAGGAAUUCCUAGUAAGCGCGAUUCAUCAAAUCGUGCUGAUUACGUCCCUGCAAAAUGUACACACCGCCCGUCGCUUUUACCGAUUGAGUGUUCAGGUGAGUCUUCUUGAUAGUUGCAGAAUUAGAAAUUAAACAAACCUUAGCACUUAGAGGAAAAAGAAGUCGUAACAAGGUUUCCGUAGGUGAACCUGCGGAAGGAUCA